rnacentral:piRNA from 1 species
UCAUAUUCAUCUGAGAUGUGGUGGCUGAGU